UACGGGGGGGGCAAGCGUUGUUCGGAAUUACUGGGCGUAAAGGGCUCGUAGGCGGCCAACUAAGUCAGACGUGAAAUCCCUCGGCUUAACCGGGGAACUGCCUCUGAUACUGGAUGGCUUGAGAUUGGGAGAGGGAUGCGGAAUUCCAGGUGUAGCGGUGAAAUGCGUAGAUAUCUGGAGGAACACCGGUGGCGAAGGCGGCAUCCUGGACCAAUAUUGACGCUGAGGAGCGAAAGCCAGGGGAGCAAACGGG
rnacentral:rRNA from 1 species